GAUGUCGCUGAAUUGUGAUUGCAGCAUCACGAAAGGGAAGGAGUUUGGGUUCCUGACUAUCUGCUUGGAAGACAGUCUCCAAAGAGAGCUGCCAGACUUUCACUGGACAGUCACAUGGGGGAGAAAUAAACCUAUGUGUGACACCACUGAGAUUGUCAUUAUAGCAACUGCUGCAAGCAAAGGACUCUAAGAUGAAACUGUCACACGUGCCUGAUGGAAGGAGCCCAACUGACAACAGAUAUUUAUGACAGUGGGUGUGAAUAUUGUUCUCAAAGUGCUGUCGUACAUCUGCCUCUGGAGAAUUCUCUUAAUGAACAAGUAGAAAUUUGAGGCACCAAAGAUGAAAAGGGCCAAACAGCCACCUUCCAUUGUUAUCUUGGGAAAGUCAACUGAACUUCCCUGGAGUAAGAUUACGAGCAAGUAAAAACUUUCUGUGGAAGUUCUAUAAAGAGAAGUAAGUGUGUGUGUUAGUGGUUUGGCCAUAAAAUGACAAGUUGAAUUUAUUGGAAACCAUAUCCUUUGAAGUAGCAACUAUUACAGAUUCAGCAUUUAAAUUUCUAAAGUUUAUUUUAAAAUUUACACAUAGUAAAUUUGGGGGUGUAGAGUUCUGUAGUUUUGACAAAUGCAGAAUUGGGUUAGCAUUGCCACAAUCAAGAUAACUUAUACAAGAUACCUAGGAUAGUCAAAUUCAUAGAGU